rnacentral:tRNA from 1 species
UGAAUAUAGUUUAUAAAAAUUCUAGUCUG